rnacentral:lncRNA from 1 species
AUGUCAGAGGCAGAGGGAGACCCGGACAGCUCGGGGCAGCCCUGGGCCCUGCCGCUGCCUCCGGCCCCCGGGUCUGGGACACGGCGCUCUCUGCAUGUGCAUUUGGCAGGAGGUGGAGGCCAGAGGGCAGACCCUGGGAGGGGAUGCAGGGAGGCUCAGAGGUGGCCUCAGAGGUGCUCAGAGACGGCCGGGCCCUCGGCCACAUCCUCUAGGGAGAGCGGAGUCCGGCUGAGGAGGAACCCCCGCUGAGCAACUCGGAGCCUGUGCCUCGUCACACGCUCUGCGUCUCUCUGUCCCACUGCCUCUGAGGACUGGGGCUGUGCUGGCGCCCAUGGGACCAGGUCCAGGCAGGUGAGUCCCCCAGACCUCCUGCUUCCACCCAACCAGCCUUCUGUCCUGGGGGAGGGGGGCACAGCGGGUGGGGCUGAUGGUGACCAGGCUGGGAGGGCCCUGGGGUGACCCCUGGGGAGACAGGCCGAGGGAGAAGGGCACCCUGACACUCCAGGUCUGAUUCCUUUCCAGGGGUUCUCCCCAAACCCUCCAUCUGGGCUGACCCGGGACCCACUGACCCCAAGGGGAGCCCUGUGAACCUCUGGUGUCAGGGGUCCCCACAGGCUGAGGUCUACCGUCUGUAUAAAGUGGGGGACUCUGAACACUGGGAGGAUGAAGCCCCACAGGACCUCAGGAACACAGCCCGGUUCCACUUUGAAUCCUUGAGCUCCCGCCAUGCAGGGCGGUACCAGUAUGCUUAUCAGAGCAGGAACAGCUGGUCCAGGUGGAGUGAACCCCUGGCCCUCGUGGUGACAGGUAAGAGGGAGGACCCGGGUCCCUCCCACCCCGGGCUCCUCCUCACAGGCAGGGCGAGCAGACUGUGGGCUCAGGGGGCCUGUCCCCUCACAGCACACAGCUGGGGAGUGGGGUGAAGGCCCCCCUUUAACACCAUCCCUCCUGCCCCCUCAGGACUGUACACAGCACCCUCCCUCUCAGCCCACCGAGCCCCGUGGGGGCGUCAGGAGGGAACGUGUCCCUCUCCUGUAGCUCACAUGUCAUGUCCAGCACACUACACCUGCUGAAGGAGGGAGGCGCUAAACCGCCCCAAUGCAGCGCGUGGGGGAAACUCGGGAACUCGGGAGGGAAGCAGGCCCUCUUCCCUGUGGGAUCCGUGAAUGCAUCCCACGGGGACACCUACAGAUGCUAGAUUCUCCCAGCUCCCAUCCCUACCUGUGGCCUCAGCCCAGUGACCC